rnacentral:rRNA from 1 species
GUGGGGAAUAUUGCACAAUGGGCGCAAGCCUGAUGCAGCGACGCCGCGUGAGGGAUGACGGCCUUCGGGUUGUAAACCUCUUUCAAUAGGGACGAAGCGUAAGUGACGGUACCUAUAGAAGAAGGACCGGCCAACUACGUGCCAGCAGCCGCGGUAAUACGUAGGGUCCGAGCGUUGUCCGGAAUUACUGGGCGUAAAGAGCUCGUAGGUGGUUUGUCGCGUUGUUCGUGAAAACUCACAGCUUAACUGUGGGCGUGCGGGCGAUACGGGCAGACUGGAGUACUGCAGGGGAGACUGGAAUUCCUGGUGUAGCGGUGGAAUGCGCAGAUAUCAGGAGGAACACCGGUGGCGAAGGCGGGUCUCUGGGCAGUAACUGACGCUGAGGAGCGAAAGCGUGGGGAGCGAACAGGAUUAGAUACCCGGGUAGUCC